GGAGAAAAAGGAGGGUUUUACUUCCGUCUU
rnacentral:piRNA from 1 species